rnacentral:tRNA from 1 species
GCCUGACUGGCUUAGUCAGUUAAGCAUCUGACUUCGGCUCAGGUCAUGAUCUCAUGGUUCACGAGUUUGAGUCCCGCGUUGGGCU